rnacentral:rRNA from 1 species
AUGAAAAUCAGUGGUUGGAAGGAAAAGUUGCUAUCAGCAGGAGGAAAGGAAAUCCUUCUCAAAUCAGUUGUACAAGCUAUCCCAACUUAUGCAAUGUCCGUCUUUAAAAUUCCUAAAAAGAUUUGUAAAGGAAUCAUUGACGCGAUGUCGCAUUUUUGGUGGGGUGACGAAGACAAUCAGAAGAGAAUGCAUUGGAUGGCAUGGUGGAAGAUGUGUGUACCAAAAGACCAAGGAGGAAUGGGUUUUCAAGACAUACAUUGUUUCAAUCUGGCCUUAUUAGCCAAACAAGCGUGGCGCCUGCUUGAUAACCCUGAUUCACUAUGUGCUUCAAUUUUGAGAGCUAAAUAUUUUCCAGAUGGAGAUUUAAUGAAUGCGAGUCUGAAAAAAAGAUCCUCUUUCACGUGGCAAAGCAUAAUGGCCGGAGUGGAUUCUCUCAAAAAAGGUUAUAUUUGGAGAGUUGGUAAUGGACAGAAUAUUGAUAUCUGGAGAGAUGCAUGGAUCCCGAAUGGGGCAAAUAGGAAAAUUAUCACUCCUAGAAGAGGGCAGGUUCUAACAAAAGUUGCUGAUCUUAUAGAUCCAAUCAACAAUUGCUGGGAUGAAGAUUUGGUAAGACAAACGUUGUGGCCAAUUGAUGUCCAGAGAGUGCUUACGAUCCCCCUCCCCACGUAUGACAUGUCGGAUUUCAUAGCUUGGAGCUUUACAAAGAAUGGACUGUUCACGGUUCGUUCUGCUUAUCUGGAGGAAUGGAAAGCCCAACAUGGGAGGAAAUUGCAACACUCAGAUGGCAUUGGAGGAAUAAAUGUCAAUACUAUUUGGAGCAAGAUUUGGAAAUUAUCUUGUCCAGCAAAAGUGAAGAUCUUUAUUUGGCAUACCUUACAUGGAACCCUCCCGUGUUGUGUUACACUUACUAAUAGACAUAUGAAAGUUUCGCCCACCUGCCCAUCAUGUCCGAACGGGCAUGAAGAUACUAAACACUUAUUAUUUUUAUGUCAAAAGGCAAAAAAGGUGUGGGAGAAACUGGGAUUGUACGAAGCCACUAAAAAAGCCUGUGCGGUCGAUCGUGCGGGAGAGGCAGUACUUGAAUUUCUAAUUUUUAUGCCAGAACAUGAGCUAUCUACAUUGGGCAUACAGAAUGUUCGCGAACUGAUUGCUAUAACAGCCUGGUAUUUAUGGUGGGAAAGACGUUCGCUAGUUCAUCAGGGGAAGACCCAAGAUGCAUACCAAAUUUCGAUGGGAGCACGUGCUAUAACGACGAACUAUGUUAUUUCCCAAUCCCCCAAGGCAACAAAUAAAAUAGAGGGAUGGACGAGACCCCCUCUAGGUUUUGUGAAAUUAAAUGUCGAUGCUUCUUUCGAUCAAGACAAGCUUAGAGGCACAGCGGGAGCUGUACUUAGAGAUGAUAAAGGAAAAUUUAUUGUUGGAGGGAAUUGGAAGAUGGAUUGGUGUGCAGAUGUUUUAACAGCAGAAGCCAUGGCACUACGUUUUGUCUUAUUACUUGCACAAAAGACAGGAAGUAACCGACUUGUUGUUAACUCCGACAAUAUGAAAGUAGUUGACAUGAUGAAGAAUGGAGGACAGACAGUGGGAGCGGCGGCAGCUGUGUUUGAUGAUUGUUAUUUUUUGGUUUGUGAUUUUUCGUUAGUUAGAUUUGAAUACUGUAAUAGGAAGGCAAAUAAAGUAGCUCAUGAAGUUGCUAGAGUAGCCAAAUUUUCUGAGACAAGGGACUGGUUUGAGGAACCUAUGAACGAUAUUGUAAAUUUUCUUAUAGACGAUGUAACCAUUAUUACUAAUAAGUAA